CACAGACCCAGCACCAUUUAUUGAGAAGACAAUCUCUUUCCCCUGCACUUCAGUCAUUCCAUUAAAAAAAACUGACUAUCAUUUUGAAUGAUAGCUAAGAACUACUCCACCUGGCCCAGAUUCUUUGGCGUGUGUCUCUGCUCAGCUCCGAUGAAUGCAGGAAUCCCUAAUCAGAUGACUGCAAUCACAAGACUCCCCUCCAGCAGGCUGGAAUGAGGCUGUGAGGCUCCAGCAGCCGUUUUGUGCCACGAGGCAGUAGAAACCUGGGUUCCUGAUGACUGUGGAGCUGCCGAACUAAUCUGGACCUCCAGAUUCCAUACCUGCAAGACACAUGAACAUCUGUCUUAUGCCGUGGAAACAGAAAUCUAGUGGAGGAUUCUGAUCCCUAGGGAAUGUAGGGCCACUGGACCCAAUUGCCCUAUAAUCUUGUGUGGUAUUUCCCUGCCCCUGCUCAACUUCAUUGGAUGGUGGAACUGGAAGUGCUGGAGAUGAGCUGCUGUGGCUGUAUGGACAAAGGCAAGAUCCUAUGGGAUGGCCAAGCAACCAGACAGAAGAACUCUUGAGACCUUGAGGAAAAGAACUGCCCGCAACUGCUCUUGACACUCUCUCCCUCUGGCCUGUUGUGUGGGAGAGAAAUAAACUUCUAUUUUAU
rnacentral:lncRNA from 1 species